rnacentral:rRNA from 1 species
GAUGAACGCUGGCGGCGUGCCUAAUACAUGCAAGUCGAGCGAAUGGAUUAAGAGCUUGCUCUUAUGAAGUUAGCGGCGGACGGGCGAGUAACACGUGGGUAACCUGCCCAUAAGACUGGGAUAACUCCGGGAAACCGGGGCUAAUACCGGAUAAUAUUUUGAACUGCAUGGUUCAAAAUUGAAGGCGGCUUCGGCUGUCACUUAUGGAUGGACCCGCGUCGCAUUAGCUAGUUGGUGAGGUAACGGCUCACCAAGGCAACGAUGCGUAGCCGACCUGAGAGGGUGAUCGGCCACACUGGGACUGAGACACGGCCCAGACUCCUACGGGAGGCAGCAGUAGGGAAUCUUCCGCAAUGGACGAAAGUCUGACGGAGCAACGCCGCGUGAGUGAUGAAGGCUUUCGGGUCGUAAAACUCUGUUGUUAGGGAAGAACAAGUGCUAGUUGAAUAAGCUGGCACCUUGACGGUACCUAACCAGAAAGCCACGGCUAACUACGUGCCAGCCGCCGCGGUAA